CACUACUUCAUUUACAUAAGGUGUAAACCAAGUAACCAAUUGGAAACCUCUAGACGGUAUUUAAACUCCAGAAAAUUCUAUAACCAGCCUCUUGAGCUGCUUGCUUGGCCCACUCUCACUCUGUGGAGUGUACAUUUGUUUCCAUAAAUCUGUGCUUUUUUUUUCAUUGUUUUGUUUGUGCAUUUCAUCCAAUUGUUUGUUCAAAAUGCCAAGAAUCUGGACACCCUCCACCAGUAACAGGCAUUGGGAAGGGGAAGGCAGAAAAGCGGAGUGCAAAAUGAAGUGGUAGUGGGUGCUAACUAACAAGAGAACCUUUGAACACGAUGGGACAGAAAUAAGGUCAUGCAUUUUCUACUAUCUGUCACCUGUGGACAACUUGCCACUUCAACAGUUCUGGACACUUUUAAGCUCCCCCGAGGAGAAGAUAGGAAACUUGGACACCCUGUGUGGGAUUGAGAAUCACAAAGGGGCAGUCUCGCACCUGGUCAAGAUAAAGCUGAACUGAACUCUUCAUUCACAAGUGGGAUUCUCGUAAGAGGCAGGAAAGCAGGGACCGUCUGUCACUACAGACAGCAAGAAGAGGUGAACCUUAAUGAGGGAAGAAAACAGAUUCUAUUAGGGGAAAAAAACAUUUAAUCAGAAAAUAAGGCUCUGGAAAGAAAAGGCCAAUUGGGGCUUUGUCUGAAGAAAUAACAGAGUAUUUUUCUGCCAGAGAAAGCAAGUCCAAGGGAGGAAUUUUCAGAUUGACCAAAGAGUAUUGGUCUACAUCAUUAGUACUUUCAGUGAGAAAUAACUGAAAAUAAACUAGAGCAAAAGUUCCCCAGGUGUGGUUCCAGGACCAGCAACUGAAACAUCACCUGGGAACUGUUAAAAAUGCAAAUUCUUGGGCUCUCCGCCAGAAUCACUGAAUCAGAAACUCUGAAAUGGGACCCAAUAAUCAGCAGCUUAACAAGCUCUCCAGGCAAGAAGAGAAUAGAGGCAAAGCAAGCCACUCCAGAAGUCCUCUAGCCAGCUUUGUCUUUAGUUUGAUGGCCAGAGAGGAAAUCCAAGCCAAAAGCUCCUUUUGGAGACAAGAAUAUUCUGACAGCACCUCCUACGAUGUGACAGAGUCAAAGAAGAAAAUAUACAAGAGAACUCUGCUAUAGAAAAUUACAAAUUCAAACCAUGGGAAAAUGGGGAAUAGAAAAAUUAUCUCUUUAGACAGAGAAAAGAUUAUAAAUACUGAAAAUUGUCAUUUCUAUAAAUGUCAUUGCUCUUCUGUUUUACAUUGUGUAAAUAUUUGGAAGAAAAUGGCACAAUUUUCUUUCAAAAAAAGGGAAACAUUCAAAAUAUUUAAAUUAUAUAUAUUAUAUAUGUAACAUGAUCAGCAAGUCUGGAAACAUAACGAAGUUUUAUAGUAUUGAUUUAUUCCUAUCACUCUGAGAUAUGGUGACAUUACAUGAUAUGUUCAACGUGUUGUUCCUCAUUAGCAAUGUGUUAUGCAUAAUGGGGACCAACAUGGGACAUUAAUACAACAUUUCUAUCAGUGCCUGCACAUGCUUCUGUGAUACGUUGCCUCCAAUGAUUUUUGUCUCUAAUUUUCAGAAUAUAAACCUGCUCCAUUAGCAUUUUCUGGAAGAAGCAAUCAAAUGGGUUAAUCUGUGAAAGUAAAUGUUAUCUAUAUUUCCCAACAUUAUGGCCAUCCUGUAUUAACGUAUAUUAUGUAUAUUCUGAACUGCUCCAUAAUUGGAAUAGUCAUUCCUUAUCAAUAAUUUACUUGAUAUCAUGGAUAUGUGUCUUUUAGUUAAUGAUCCCUUUGCCAACUAGCCUAGUUUAUAGGCAGUGACUAUAUCAUACUCAUUUUGAAUUCCCAAUACUUACCACAGCUUCCUAUACAUGGUAGUUGUUUAAUAAAUAAUUCUUGAAUAAAAAUAAACUUUAAAUAUUUCCUUAUUA
rnacentral:lncRNA from 1 species